UGUAAAAUCUUUGGAAUGCUGAGAGAAAGAAAGAGAAAAGAGAUUUAAUCGAUUUCUUCUACUCCAUCAGUUACCUUCUAGUUUAAUGUAUUGAUGCAUUUACUAAAUGUGCUACAUGCUUUUCUUCCCUGUACGAACAUUGUAAAAUUUGAGCCACCACAAGGACAGCUUGUUUUGGAGGCAGAGAGAAAGAAGAUGUUACUUGUGUAAUUACUGGGCGCCAUUUGUAGAUAGGUACUAGCGAUAAUAUCUUUCAGAUGGUAAGUGCCGCAAUGCAACACGAACGAGAUUCUGGUGGCAGAGAGGACGCAAUCUGAUCCCGGACUCGCCGUGGUAUCCCCUCAUGUAGGUGAUCAUUUACGCCGCUCCUUCUCCUCACGUGUAGAGAACCAGUGAUAGUCAGUGCGCUUUGAUGAAAAUUGUCUGUCAUUAGAUUUGUCGUGAGAAAAAAAAAGGAAGGUGAAGAGUUAUCUUCCUUGGAAUUUUCCCUCAAGAACACUGCUUUGACUAAGGGAUCGGGAAUGUACCCUGAGCGUGAGAAGUUUGGGCGGAGGUGAUUUUAUUUCAUAUACUUUUCAAUAUAUAGACUACAUCAUCGACUCAGAUAAAGAGGAGUUUUGUUCCGUCAGCCAUUGACAUGACGGAACAGAUCAUUACCUUGACAGAUGAACAAAUAGCAGAGUUCAAAGAAGCAUUCUCGUUAUUUGACAAAGAUGGCGAUGGAACCAUCACGACCAGUGAACUGGGUACUGUCAUGCGCAGUCUGGGUCAAAACCCAACCGAGGCUGAACUACAGGACAUGAUAAACGAAGUAGACGCAGAUGGCAACGGGACGAUAGACUUCGAGGAAUUCCUAUUAAUGAUGGCGAGAAAAAUGAAAGAUACGGAUAGUGAGGAGGAACUUCGGGAAGCCUUCAGAGUGUUCGAUAAGGACGGUAAUGGUUUUAUCAGUGCUGCCGAACUUCGUCAUGUCAUGACCAAUUUAGGGGAAAAGUUGACUGAUGAAGAGGUCGAUGAAAUGAUUCGAGAGGCGGAUCUUGAUGGAGACGGCAUGGUGAAUUAUGAAGAUUUCAGGACGUAUGCUUCCGGUUUGUUUUCCAAUCAAUCAAAAUGAUGUUCCCUUUGGCUACCAUUCCUUUCCCUUCAUUAUGACGUCAUCAGAUGAUAUAUCUGCUUAGGCGAACGGAUAUUUUUAACUUGGUUCAAACACACUAACAAUUGACCAGCACACGCAUGUUCACGGGUCAUUACAACGCAUUGGACUGUCGUCUGCAAGAAACCAGUUAUUUUUCUUUCUCUAAAACCAACAUUAGAAGUUUAUGUUUUUCAAGUUGUGAUGAGGAUUACUUUUCAGUGCCCAAAGAUAAUAUUCGCUUAAACACAAGUCAAAAGAGCCACCAUGACUGCAGUCAGCUUCUGCUGUUGUUUGUUCAUUACAUGAACAGCGCAUCAAUUCGUCGAUCUAUGCUGUUGCAAGAUGCCAUCAACUGCACACGUGAAGGAAAAUUUGGGUAUUUUAGAAAAUAAAUACAUGUAUCGUUUUAGAAAAUGAAUACAUGUAUCGUACUCUGAAGGUGUUGGCCAUCUUCCUGUGAACGUUUUCCAUCUGAAACAACCCUAGCUUCAGAACUAACUCUCUGGUGGAAAAGUGGGACAAACCAGAGGGCUACAGACCCAUCUCAUUGAAAACCCUCGAUAUACAGCACAUUUUUCGUUUUCUGCGCAUGCUUGAGGUCUUGUAGGUAUAUCGCUUAUUCAUGCACCGCCGUCUGAGAAAACAAUACAAAAACAUCUUAACAUAUUUUCUCACUAUACUUAUGUCCAGACUUACCUUCGAACAUUGAUGAAAGCCCCAUUCACAGCUGCAAAUGAUUUCGUUUGUUGAAUUGUAGCCAUGCUAGAUAGCUAGUCAAUUCGAACCCCGUUAAUUUACGUAUUAAUCCAUACUUCAACUCCUAGGUAUGCAUUCAGUCUUUAUUUAUCAUAAACACAAAUAAUAAAUGUAUAAUUCCUUUAGAAUAAGCUCAUGAGUAUUAAAAAGUAAUCCUGGUAUGUGUUGAAAGCCUAGUCUGGUCCCCCACUUCGGCACUGCGGCGUGUAAAAGCAGAGAGGCGAUGAUAGGGACCAGACUAAUGAAAGCCGUGAAUGUAGUUCAAUAUUCAAACCUAUUUAAGCAAUAUUCUUUUUUAACCGAACUGGGAUGAUUUCAACUAAAAUAUUCAUGGGGAUAUUCGUUCACAUUGACAUUAUUAUUUCGAAAUUAGUACGAGUAUGGAAAUCAGCGGGGUUCGAAUAGAAUGACAACCUAACGUUGUUACAUCAACAAACAAAAUUAUUCGAAGCUGUGAGUUUUACAUGGGGUUUUAAUGAAUGUUUCAAGUUAUUUCUGAACACAAUUGUAGUGAGAAUAUAUAUCAGGAAUUUUCAUAUCAUUAUUUUCAGACGGCGAUACAAAAAAAAAAAAAAAAAAAAAAAAAAAAAAAAAGCGAUAUAAGACUUUAACCGUGCGCAGAAAAAAACCCUGCAAGGUUUUUAUAAGGAUGGAUCUGUAGCUCUUUGGUUUAUCCGUACUUUUUACCCAGAGAGCUACAGUUCUACAUGAUGACCCAGACUAUUUCAGGGGACUGUUGAGAGAGAGAGAGAGAGAGAGAGAGAGAGAGAGAGGGGGGGGGCAUUUAAAGGUAGUGUGGAAAUACACGCACAUGAAACAUUUCACAUCUUUGGUUUCCUGUAUAUGGUUUGUGUUCUUAUCUAAUACUUUUUCUUUAUGAUAUAAAUCGAACCCCCCAAAAAAGAAGAAGAAAAAAAGAGGUAGCUAGGUUUAAUUUACAUGUACAUUGUUUUCCUGUUAUAAUUCGCCCAUCGUGUAUUGUAUUAUAUUGUGUGCAGAUGCACAUCCAGAACGAAACUUCCUCUUAAUACCUCCAAAUUGUAGUCGAGAAAUACUUAUCUUCAAAAGAAAGGAAGAAAAACAAACAAAAAAGGAAAGAAAAUAUUACAAUGUAAAAAGAAAUCCACUUUAAACAUAACCUAUCACAAGGAAAAUGACCAAUGCAAUAAAAUACGAUUAGCUAUAUAUACAUUGUUCAAAGAUACAAUUUUUGACUUUUCAUUUUGAUUAUCGCUGCACACCGGUAUAUCAGCAGGGAAAAAUUAUUUCGCGUUUUCAACUUACAAACUCAUACACAAGCAUGUAGUACUUUUUGAUUUGAUGUAUAUCAUUAUUAGCUAGACGAGGUUUCGGAAACUACUUCCGCUCUCCACUUGUGGAAACAAGAGUAGGAGAGAAACGGAUCAAAGUAUUUACUCAACAAAGAUGAUACAUUAAUUGAUAGACUUAGUAGUUGCAUUUCUUUUUCGUUUCAGAAUUUGUCACGAUGAUGACGGCCAAAUAGCACGUCGGAUUUUGUUGAUUUUGUUCAAGACAAAGACAUUCGGACAUUUUUUGUAUCGUUCGACUACAGAAUACCUUGAAUAUAAUCGCAGAGAUUAAAGCCGCGCACAUGUUUGUAUUUCGUUUUGUUUCAAUUUUCAGUGUUGUACACAUUGUUCAAAACUUGUUUGAUCUGUCUUAUUUUGUACAUCCUGGUGUCAAUUUGCAUAACAAUAAACACACGCAUAAAAUCAUAA